rnacentral:rRNA from 1 species
GUAGGUGGCAAGCGUUGUCCGGAAUUAUUGGGCGUAAAGCGCGCGCAGGCGGUUCCUUAAGUCUGAUGUGAAAGCCCACGGCUCAACCGUGGAGGGUCAUUGGAAACUGGGGGACUUGAGUGCAGAAGAGGAGAGCGGAAUUCCACGUGUAGCGGUGAAAUGCGUAGAGAUGUGGAGGAACACCAGUGGCGAAGGCGGCUCUCUGGUCUGUAACUGACGCUGAGGCGCGAAAGCGUGGGGAGCAAACAGGAUUAGAUACCCUGGUAGUCCACGCCGUAAACGAUGAGUGCUAAGUGUUAGAGGGUAUCCACCCUUUAGUGCUGUAGCUAACGCAUUAAGCACUCCGCCUGGGGAGUACGCUCGCAAGAGUG